rnacentral:rRNA from 1 species
GACGAACGCUGGCGGCGUGCUUAACACAUGCAAGUCGAGCGGUAAGGCCCCUUCGGGGGUACACGAGCGGCGAACGGGUGAGUAACACGUGGGUGACCUGCCCUCAGCUCUGGGAUAAGCCUGGGAAACUGGGUCUAAUACCGGAUAUGACUCCAUGACGCAUGUCGUGGGGUGGAAAGCCUUGUGCGGCUGGGGAUGGGCCCGCGGCCUAUCAGCUUGUUGGUGGGGUGAUGGCCUACCAAGGCGACGACGGGUAGCCGGCCUGAGAGGGCGACCGGCCACACUGGGACUGAGACACGGCCCAGACUCCUACGGGAGGCAGCAGUGGGGAAUCUUGCGCAAUGGGCGAAAGCCUGACGCAGCGACGCCGCGUGAGGGAUGACGGCCUGGUGU